UACAGAGGUCUCAAGCGUUGUUCGGAUUCAUUGGGCGUAAAGGGUGCGUAGGCGGCGCGGUAAGUCGGGUGUGAAAUCUCGGAGCUUAACUCCGAAACUGCAUUCGAUACUGCCGUGCUUGAGGACUGGAGAGGAGACUGGAAUUUACGGUGUAGCGGUGAAAUGCGUAGAUAUCGUAAGGAAGACCAGGGGCGAAGGCGGGUCUCUGGACAGUUCCUGACGCUGAGGCACGAAGGCCAGGGGAGCAAACGGG
rnacentral:rRNA from 1 species